GCUCUUGCCUCUUUUUAGUUGCAUCAGAUAGUCAGCAUGCUGUGGUUGAUUGCCUCACAUUUACCCAGCAGGCACAAAAAAGCUUCUGCUUUUUCUGUAGUCUAUGAAAACCACAGAGAAGGGCCUGGUGUUUUCUUGUUGCCUUAUAGUACUGGACCUUGAACACUUGAGUGAUGUGUCUAACAGUUGGAAAUGGCUCUCAUUUUCCAACCGUCUUUUCCUGCAUCAUUCCAGCAGUUAUGAAGUAACACAAAACAGGCCUACAACAUCUGCAAUGAAUACCAUGUGUUCACAGCUGUGAUCAGAGAAUGAGGCAUCUCAGAGAGUUCUUCACUGAUUCCUGGAGAAGGUUGCCUGUUCCCCAAUACAAUAUUUAUGCCUAAUGCAUUACACACAAGGCACCAGAAGAGCUGAAGCGCAUCAGCAACCAAAAAAGAAAAGCUGCAAAAUAACAAAUUAAAAAAAUAACAAAUAAAAGCUGCACUUAACAGCUUGCUAUUUACCUCUGCUUGGGCCACAUCAAAGCAACCUCUCAUAAUGCUUUACAGUGUGACAACAGAAGGCUCACACAGUAACGCCAAUGUAUUGGCCAGAAAAGAGGUGCACAAUCAGAGCUUUACUUCCGGAACUUAAACAGUUUAAUUUAUUAAGUACACCAUAGUCAAGGAGUCAUUGUUUUCCAUCAACACAAACUGCAAAAACACCUGGCUGGCAUCCCAGGCACAGACUAUCCUUGUUGGAUACUUGAACAAGCAAACAAGCCGCUGCACAACUGCUUCUCUAUCCUGUUGAUCACAGAUGCGUUCAAUACAGUCCAUGUAAGAAAUCUCAAAGACUUGUUGAAUUUUAUACUCACAAUGCUUGGAGAGAAGGCCUCUGUAAGGAAUGUUAUCUUUACCAUGGAUAACAUCCCAGGAUGUAGAAGAGGCACAGGAGGCUUUCACUAGUUAACUCAAAAGAAGCCAUUUCAGGAGUUUACUGAAGUAGCUGUGAAGAUAUCUACCAAACAGUUCCUGACAUGGGACUGGUAAAACCAGAAGACAGGUCAUGGAGAAGCAUUAGUAGCAGGGAUUAUUCGAAGCCAAUUGCAAGAUGAAGGAGAAAGAAGAGCUAACAAAUGAGAAAGGAUGGAAACAAGCUCACAGGAGAGGAGGCAACAGAGCUGUGGUUUUUGUUUUUGUUUUUUUCUGAAGCAUAUGAUUCACAAUGUGUCUGAGAUUUCAAAACUUCUUUCUAACAAAGAUGAACAAGGACCCUCUAGAACAUCUCUACAACCGUCAGAUUAAGUUCUGUUUCUGGAAUAUCCUGUCCUGUUGAAUUUACUGUAGUGGAGAAACAACUAGCUUAAAAUGUUGAAUUCAUUACAAGGAAAAUGAAAAUCUAACCUUUUUGUAAGAUUUCUCACCUGUAAUCUCUGGAGUCUUCAUAAUAUCUCCAGGUAGCUAAACUAGGUGCUUCAGCUUUCUGUUGUAUUGUAAAUUGUUUUCUUUGUCUUCUCAUAGUACAACAGUUUGAAAGAGAUGAGACCAAGUGCCUGAGACACAUGAACACGAAUCACCACGUGCCUCCCUCAUUGACAUUUCCGUAUCACUGGAAGCAAACUUCAGCUUUUCAAGAUAUUGUUGGAGACACUACUUUAAUGUUUUUAGUCUCUUAGCACCUUUGUGGACAGUCCCAGUAGCAUUCCCAUUUUAUGACUCUGGAUUCUGUUCACAUAUAAGCAGGAAAACAGUUACCGAUGAAAGAAUAUUCAGGAAGUCUUUAAAAAUUUAACUCCAAUACAGUUUAAGUCCUCACAGACUUCGACGAAAGUUGAAGUUUCCCAUCUGAAUAUGCUUUGCUUUUUAUGCAAAUUAACAUUUUUUGAAAUAUUCAUAGUAAUACUAGCAAAAGUAAUUUUAACUACAGAUAUACCUCCAUAGUUCUGUGAAAAUGCCAGUCUACUUAGAAGUGGUUUUGGUAGAUUAAACCACUAAUUCUUCCAAUACAUUGAAACUAAUCUUAAAUGGGAGGGGGGUUAGGCAACACCAAAAACUACAACAACAAAAACCACAAUGGAGUAAAAGGAAAGAAGAUGAGAUGUUCUUCUCACCUUUUUGAAAGCCUAGAAAAAGGUUCUUCUUGACAUUUCUUAUCAUAGGUGAGAUGGGGAUUUAUCCUAGAAAAUAUGUUUAGCGGUUGCAUGCCUUAAGAAAACACUACUUAGAAUUACAAUCUAUAAUUGCUUAAUCUGAUGUUUGCAUAUAAAAGUCAGUCAAGCAUUCAAGCUAACCACAAGAAUAAUAGUUAAACACAUGCAAAUAUUUCUUUUCAACAUCACAAAAAUUUCAGAACCCCCUAAAAAUUCCAGAGUCAGAAGAACAUAUUCUAGAGUUUGCAAUUAGAACUCAUGGUUGGUAUGAUAAUUCCCUCUCAUUUGGGCUUUUUCUGCUUCUCACUUACAAGGCAGAGCUAAAAUUUCCCAUGUUUAAUUAACCUGAAAAAAAGAAUAACAACAACAAAGUAUUAAAACAAUAGCAUCUAGUCAUGCAAGAAUCCGGAGUUCUUUUGACUGUUCCAAGCAAAGUUACUAUUUUCCUGCACUAAUCUCUUGCUUUCUGUCAUUAGGUAGACAAAUUUGUGUCAUUAGAUUAAGUAUUACCCACUACUAAAGCUAGAGAAUAUUUUUGUUAAAAAGCUGGUAUUUCCUGAGGUAUUGAUGCCUGUCUGCUCAAAUCUGAAAUUACAAGUAAAUUGGUAAUCAGAUAUAGAGCACACCCACGAACAGACAAGGACUACAUUAAACAGCAUAAAAAUUAAUACAACUGAGGCUUAGGACAGAGGAAAUAAUCGCCAAGGCUAAACCCAAAUCAGCCCUAGUCCCUUGAGAUCUUCUAGACUGCCCUUUAUGGAUUAAUAGAUUGAUCAAUUAACGUAGUAAAGUCCACUAUAACAGUUGCAGUUUUUGUUUGGUUAGUUGAUUGCUUUUUGUACAUAUUUUAAACAAAAUUAAAUGUUUUAAAAAUCUCCAAGAGCACUAGACACCUUACACUCAAACAAGAAUACAAGACUUCCCUGUCCCCUCCCUGCCAAGUUUAUAUGUCAGUCCGAAAUACCAUGAUGAGCUAUGCAUAAGGGAAAGCCGCCUUCUUACAGAUUGCCUCAUAGAUUCUUCAGGGUAUAUCUCUCAGCCAAGAGUAUCUGCUCCCAACUAUCAACUGUCUCAUCGCUUCUGUUUGAGCAAGAGAUGCAAUGUUGCAAUUAUUUUCUUCAAAUGUAAUCAGGGCAGGUUUCUCUCAGGCCUGCUCCAAUGUUGUACCCAUACACAUACAUUCUCUCACACACACACUAAAGUAGAAAAGUUGAAGGCUCAGCAGGGAAGCUCAGAAGCCUGUCUAUGCUCAUCCUGCAACCCAAACCCAAAAGGUUUUCAAACACAUUUGUUAAGCAGUAGUGAGACUGGCUCUCUCUACCAGUCUGUCUCAACACACUUGCACAUGCACACACACGUGAUGAAUACACAUGCUUAAAAAGGGUGGCCAAGAAGUAAAAGUCACUUUCAUAAGAGUGUUAUGGACUUCAAACUUAUUAAGUUAUAUUUCUCUAGGAAUUUACUAAAGAUAAUCACAUGGGCAGAGGUCACCUGCUUAUGCUUUAUGGCUUCAAAUAUCCAAGCAUUCCUUGAUAAUCAAUAAAAUAGAGAUCCUAUGCUAUACAAAGAAAGAUGACCAAAUACAGGUGACAAGGACAACUAUCUUAUGACUUUCUUUCACCUCCUCUACCCUACACAACAGACGAUCUUCCAACAUAAAGGAUGCCUUCCUGACAGUGUGCAUUCUUUGGCAAAAUACCCCUCUCUUUCUAGGGUCAAGAUCACACCCGAUAUUUAAGCCACAUGGAUAUAAUUUAAGACACUUCUAAUAGGUCAACUUAGUUUUGUGAAAUCAUAGCAGCAUCAGUGCUAUUGCUAAAGCUGAAAUUGAUAACCUCUGGGUAAACAUUGAGUAUUGACCUUCAUAUGUAUCAUUCUUCCCUUUAAUACACCCAAGUGUGUCACAAAGUAAUGAUUAACGCAGCUGUCACAGCAACAGGCAGCUGGGAGAAGCUGACUUGUUUUAAAACAGCAGUCUUAACACAGGCCUCUUAUGGUAAAACUACAAGCCUGUCCUUCAGUUCACAGUCAAUGAAACUAGGUGCAUCGUGGCUAAAGACGAUGUGUUGAGCAAAAUGUUUGUAAGAGGAGAUGGUCAUACUUCUUUAUGAGCUUUGCUUAUUUCAGUAAGAGCACCUUUACACCCUUUGUUUGGGGUCUUCCUCUGCAGAUUUCAGAGUGGUUGAAGCCUGACAACGUACAAAUAUAUAGGAAAAGCAGAUGAGGAGGUGCCUUAGAGCACUGUCUAAGAUAGUAUAGCACAUUCCAAAAUUUCUCUUCCAUUCCAAGCUGGAAGUUGCUCAGCAUCAUUGGCACUUGUUUCAGUUUCAGCAAGACAUCGGCCUGCUUUGAAGACUAUGAAAACCAGAUCAGGCUCAAAAUAAGAACGGACAGAGGAAGGACUCCUUAUCCACCUGAAAAAGACGCAGCUUCUGUAUUAAUCAACAGGAAAAUGCAAGUUGUUACCACAUCUGAUAAUGUCCUGUAAGCACAACCAAUUUGAGAAUUGAUUCCAAAAUAAACCUCUAGAUAACUUC